CGGGUGCACUGAUCCGGCCGGGCCUUUCCCUCUGUGGAACCCCAUGGCCUUCACUGGCUGUGCGGGGGAAACAGGACUUUUACUGUGAAAAAAUUAGAGUGCUCCAGGCAGGCCUAUGCUCGAAUACAUUAGCAUGGAAUAAUAGAAUAGGACGCGUGGUUCUAUUUUGUUGGUUUCUAGGACCGCCGUAAUGAUUAAUAGGGACAGUCGGGGGCAUCAGUAUUCAAUUGUCAGAGGUGAAAUUCUUGGAUCUAUUGAAGACUAACUACUGCGAAAGCAUUUGCCAAGGAUGUUUUCAUUGAUAAGGAACGAAAGUUAGGGGGAUCGAAGACGAUCAGAUACCCGUCGUAGUCUUAACUAUAAACUAUGCCGACUAGGGAUCGGACGAUGUUAUUUCUUGACGCGUUCGGCACCUUUCGAGAAAUCAAAGUGCUUGGGCUCCAGGGGGAGUAUGGUCGCAAGGCUGAAACUUAAAGAAAUUGACGGAAGGGCACCACCAGGGGUGGAACCUGCGGCUUAAUUUGACUCAACACGGGGAAACUCACCAGGUCCAGACACAGUGAGGAUUGACAGAUUGAGAGCUCUUUCUUGAUUCUGUGGGUGGUGGUGCAUGGCCGUUCUUAGUUGGUGGAGUGAUUUGUCUGCUUAAUUGCGAUAACGAACGAGACCUUAACCUGCUAAAUAGCCCGUACUGCUCUGGCAGUUCGCCGGCUUCUUAGAGGGACUAUCGG
rnacentral:rRNA from 1 species